CAGUCGACGAACUCUGGUAUUGAUUGGUGCUUGCAUCAUGAUUUACAUUUGAGUGAGUGGCGAACUGGUGAGUAACACGUGGGAAACCUGCCCAGAAGCGGGGGAUAACACCUGGAAACAGAUGCUAAUACCGCAUAACAACUUGGACCGCAUGGUCCGAGUUUGAAAGAUGGCUUCGGCUAUCACUUUUGGAUGGUCCCGCGGCGUAUUAGCUAGAUGGUGGGGUAACGGCUCACCAUGGCAAUGAUACGUAGCCGACCUGAGAGGGUAAUCGGCCACAUUGGGACUGAGACACGGCCCAAACUCCUACGGGAGGCAGCAGUAGGGAAUCUUCCACAAUGGACGAAAGUCUGAUGGAGCAACGCCGCGUGAGUGAAGAAGGGUUUCGGCUCGUAAAACUCUGUUGUUAAAGAAGAACAUAUCUGAGAGUAACUGUUCAGGUAUUGACGGUAUUUAACCAGAAAGCCACGGCUAACUACGUGCCAGCAGCCGCGGUAAUACGUAGGUGGCAAGCGUUGUCCGGAUUUAUUGGGCGUAAAGCGAGCGCAGGCGGUUUUUUAAGUCUGAUGUGAAAGCCUUCGGCUCAACCGAAGAAGUGCAUCGGAAACUGGGAAACUUGAGUGCAGAAGAGGACAGUGGAACUCCAUGUGUAGCGGUGAAAUGCGUAGAUAUAUGGAAGAACACCAGUGGCGAAGGCGGCUGUCUGGUCUGUAACUGACGCUGAGGCUCGAAAGUAUGGGUAGCAAACAGGAUUAGAUACCCUGGUAGUCCAUACCGUAAACGAUGAAUGCUAAGUGUUGGAGGGUUUCCGCCCUUCAGUGCUGCAGCUAACGCAUUAAGCAUUCCGCCUGGGGAGUACGGCCGCAAGGCUGAAACUCAAAGGAAUUGACGGGGGCCCGCACAAGCGGUGGAGCAUGUGGUUUAAUUCGAAGCUACGCGAAGAACCUUACCAGGUCUUGACAUACUAUGCAAAUCUAAGAGAUUAGACGUUCCCUUCGGGGACAUGGAUACAGGUGGUGCAUGGUUGUCGUCAGCUCGUGUCGUGAGAUGUUGGGUUAAGUCCCGCAACGAGCGCAACCCUUAUUAUCAGUUGCCAGCAUUAAGUUGGGCACUCUGGUGAGACUGCCGGUGACAAACCGGAGGAAGGUGGGGAUGACGUCAAAUCAUCAUGCCCCUUAUGACCUGGGCUACACACGUGCUACAAUGGAUGGUACAACGAGUUGCGAACUCGCGAGAGUAAGCUAAUCUCUUAAAGCCAUUCUCAGUUCGGAUUGUAGGCUGCAACUCGCCUACAUGAAGUCGGAAUCGCUAGUAAUCGCGGAUCAGCAUGCCGCGGUGAAUACGUUCCCGGGCCUUGUACACACCGCCCGUCACACCAUGAGAGUUUGUAACACCCAAAGUCGGUGGGGUAACCUUUA
rnacentral:rRNA from 2 species